GACGAACGCUGGCGGCGUGCUUAACACAUGCAAGUCGAACGAUGAAGCCGGAGCUUGCUCUGGUGAAUUAGUGGCGAACGGGUGAGUAACACGUGAGUAACCUGCCCUUGACUCUGGGAUAACUGCGGGAAACUGUAGCUAAUACCGGAUACGACCCUCGGAGGCAUCUCCUGGGGGUGGAAAGAAUUUCGGUCAAGGAUGGACUCGCGGCCUAUCAGCUAGUUGGUGAGGUAAAGGCUCACCAAGGCGACGACGGGUAGCCGGCCUGAGGGGGUGACCGGCCACACUGGGACUGAGACACGGCCCAGACUCCGACGGGAGGCAGCAGUGGGGAAUAUUGCACAAUGGGCGCAAGCCUGAUGCAGCAACGCCACGUGAGGGAUGACGGCCUUCGGGUUGUAAACCCCUUUUAGCAGGGAAGAAGCGAAAGUGACGGUACCUGCAGAAGAAGCACCGGCUAACUACGUGCCAGCAGCCGCCGUAA
rnacentral:rRNA from 1 species